UACGGGGGGGGGCAAGCGUUGUUCGGAAUUACUGGGCGUAAAGGGCUCGUAGGUGGCCAACUAAGUCAGACGUGAAAUCCCUCGGCUUAACCGGGGAACUGCGUCUGAUACUGGAUGGCUUGAGUUCGGGAGAGGGAUGCGGAAUUCCAGGUGUAGCGGUGAAAUGCGUAGAUAUCUGGAGGAACACCGGUGGCGAAGGCGGCAUCCUGGACCGACACUGACGCUGAGGAGCGAAAGCCAGGGGAGCAAACGGGG
rnacentral:rRNA from 1 species